rnacentral:rRNA from 1 species
GCUCAACGGAUAAAAGCUACCCUGGGGAUAACAGGCUGAUCUCGCCCAAGAGUUCACAUCGACGGCGAGGUUUGGCACCUCGAUGUCGGCUCAUCGCAUCCUGGAGCUGGAUUCGGUUCCAAGGGUUGGGCUGUCCGCCCAUUAAAGCGGUACGCGAGCUGGGUUCAGAACGUCGUGAGACAGUUCGGUCCCUAUCCAUCGUGGGCGUAGGAAAUUUGAGAGGAGCUGUCCUUAGUACGAGAGGACCGGGAUGGACGUACCAAUGGUCUAUCAGUUGUCGCGCCAGCGGCAUGGCUGAGUAGCCAAGUACGGACGGGAUAAACGCUGAAGGCAUCUAAGCGUGAAGCCCCCCUCAAGAUUAGAUUUCCCAUUCCGAAAGGAAGUAAGACCCCUUGAAGACUACAAGGUUGAUAGGUCAGAGGUGGAAGUGCAGUAAUGUAUGAAGCUGACUGAUACUAAUAGGUCGAGGGCUUGAUCAAUAA